rnacentral:rRNA from 1 species
GCCAGCCCGCUCAAGAAACUUAAAGGAAAUUGACGGGGCCCGGCACAAGCGGAGGAGCAUGUGGUUAAUUCGAUGAUACGCGAGGAACCUUACCUGGGCUCGAACGUAAGAUGACUGUAGGUGAAAGCUUACAUCUCUUCGGAGCAUUUUACGAGGUGCUGCAUGGUUGUCGUCAGCUCGUGCCGUGAGGUGUCGGGUUAAGCCCCAUAACGAGCGCAACCCCUACCUUUAGUUGCCAUCAGGUUAAGCUGGGGGCUCUAAAGGAACUGCCUACGCAAGUAGUGAGGAAGGCGGGGAUGACGUCAAAUCAGCACGGCCCUUACGUCCAGGGCUACACACGUGCUACAAUGGCCGAUACAGAGGGCAGCUACCUGGUGACAGGAUGCAAAUCUCCAAAGUCGGUCUCAGUUCGGAUCGGAGUCUGCAACCCGACUCCGUGAAGUUGGAUUCGCUAGUAAUCGCGCAUCAGCCAUGGCGCGGUGAAUACGUUCCCGGGCCUU